UACGUAGGGUGCGAGCGUUAAUCGGAAUUACUGGGCGUAAAGCGUGCGCAGGUGGUUUUGUAAGUCAGAUGUGAAAUCCCCGGGCUUAACCUGGGAACUGCAUUUGAGACUGCAAGGCUAGAGUGUAGCAGAGGGGGGUGGAAUUCCACGUGUAGCAGUGAAAUGCGUAGAGAUGUGGAGGAACACCGAUGGCGAAGGCAGCCCCCUGGGCUACUACUGACACUCAUGCACGAAAGCGUGGGGAGCAAACAGG
rnacentral:rRNA from 1 species